GACGAGCAGGGGAGGCAGACCGCGGGAGGAAGCAGCGGUGAGGCUAGAGUUGCCGAGAUGCUGGUGGCGUGGACAAGAAGCAGCUGGGCUGGCUCUAUUCUUUAUCUUUCCCUGUGAUGGCCUUAAUCCGGAGGUUUGGUAUGAUUUGACUGUGGGAUAUUAUGGAUAUAACAGAUUAUCCUUACCUUCACUACGACCCUAUAUUGGCCAUUCGACACCUCACUCCAAAGGCACCGCAAUCCCCAGAAGCGAAGUGUGAGGUUUCAAGUAUGGUGUCAAACAUGGAGGAGCCCCUUGUUGAGGGCAACGUUGAGAAGAUAGGAGGGGCGGAAGAUAGGAUGGUAGUGAUUGAGGUCAAUAAGCAGCUGUACCGUGUUGGGCAUCUCGCUGUUGGAUUUCAUGAAUUAUUAUAGAUGUGUGAGUAGAAGAAAUUUAAAAGGGAAGCAUAGUUGAAGAAUGCUGAUGACAAUGAGCACUCAUCGUGGUUGAUGUGAACGCUGAAGAGGUGUUUCAUAUGUACUAAUUUGUAUAUAGCUAGAGUGAUUUUGAGCUUCUGAUGAGGUCCUUAUAUUAUAUUAAAAGGGAACACCAAUACAAUUUUAAACUUGCUGUUAUUUUUUCGACUAUUAAACCAAAUCUAUUUUUUUAUUGGAAAGGUACUUGUGA